rnacentral:rRNA from 1 species
AGGGAAACCGAGUCUUAACCGGGCGUUAAGUUGCAGGGUAUAGACCCGAAACCCGGUGAUCUAGCCAUGGGCAGGUUGAAGGUUGGGUAACACUAACUGGAGGACCGAACCGACUAAUGUUGAAAAAUUAGCGGAUGACCUGUGGCUGGGGGUGAAAGGCCAAUCAAACCGGGAGAUAGCUGGUUCUCCCCGAAAGCUAUUUAGGUAGCGCCUCGUGAAUUCAUCUCCGGGGGUAGAGCACUGUUUCGGCUAGGGGGCCAUCCCGGCUUACCAACCCGAUGCAAACUGCGAAUACCGGAGAAUGUUAUCACGGGAGACACACGGCGGGUGCUAACGUCCGUCGUGAAGAGGGAAACAACCCAGACCGCCAGCUAAGGUCCCAAAGUCAUGGUUAAGUGGGAAACGAUGUGGGAAGGCCCAGACAGCCAGGAUGUUGGCUUAGAAGCAGCCAUCAUUUAAAGAAAGCGUAAUAGCUCACUGGUCGAGUCGGCCUGCGCGGAAGAUGUAACGGGGCUAAACCAUGCACCGAAGCUGCGGCAGCGAACGUAUCACUUAAAGCGAUUCAGCGGGUUACGAUUGACGGAGCGAAGCGACGUCAAAGCGUAUACAAAGUCGAGUCGGUUUAAGGAUACGUUCGUUGGGUAGGGGAGCGUUCUGUAAGCCUGUGAAGGUGUGUCGUGAGGCAUGCUGGAGGUAUCAGAAGUGCGAAUGCUGACAUAAGUAACGAUAAAGCGGGUGAAAAGCCCGCUCGCCGGAAGACCAA